rnacentral:rRNA from 1 species
GGGGAAUAUUGCACAAUGGGGGAAACCCUGAUGCAGCAACGCCGCGUGAGUGAUGACGGUCUUCGGAUUGUAAAGCUCUGUCUUCAGGGACGAUAAUGACGGUACCUGAGGAGGAAGCCACGGCUAACUACGUGCCAGCAGCCGCGGUAAUACGUAGGUGGCAAGCGUUGUCCGGAUUUACUGGGCGUAAAGGAAGCGUAGGCGGAUACUUAAGUGGGAUGUGAAAUACCUGGGCUUAACUUGGGUGCUGCAUUCCAAACUGGGUGUCUAGAGUGUUGGAGAGGAAAGUGGAAUUCCUAGUGUAGCGGUGAAAUGCGUAGAGAUUAGGAAGAACACCAGUGGCGAAGGCGACUUUCUGGACAAUAACUGACGCUGAGGCUCGAAAGCGUGGGGAACAAAC